rnacentral:rRNA from 1 species
CAGCAGCCACGGGAAUACGGAGGGUGCAAGCGUUAAUCGGAAUUACUGGGCGUAAAGCGCACGCAGGCGGUUUGUUAAGUCAGAUGUGAAAUCCCCGAGCUUAACUUGGGAACUGCAUUUGAAACUAGCAAGCUAGAGUCUUGUAGAGGGGGGUAGAAUUCCAGGUGUAGCGGUGAAAUGCGUAGAGAUCUGGAGGAAUACCGGUGGCGAAGGCGGCCCCCUGGACAAAGACUGACGCUCAGGUGCGAAAGCGUGGGGAGCAAACAGGAUUAGAUACCCCUGUAGUCCCUGUCUCUUAUAC